rnacentral:rRNA from 1 species
CCUACGGGAGGCAGCAGUGAGGAAUAUUGGUCAAUGGGCGAGAGCCUGAACCAGCCAAGUCGCGUGAAGGAUGAAGGAUCUAUGGUUUGUAAACUUCUUUUAUAUGGGAAUAAAGUGAGGAACGUGUUCCUUUUUGUAUGUACCAUAUGAAUAAGCAUCGGCUAACUCCGUGCCAGCAGCCGCGGUAAUACGGAGGAUGCGAGCGUUAUACGGAUUUAUUGGGUUUAAAGGGUGCGUAGGUGGUUAAUUAAGUCAGCGGUGAAAGGUUGUGGCUCAACCAUAAAAUUGCCGUUGAAACUGGUUGACUUGAGUAUAUUUGAGGUAGGCGGAAUGCGUGGUGUAGCGGUGAAAUGCAUAGAGAUCACGCAGAACUCCGAUUGCGAAGGCAGCUUACUAAACUAUAACUGACACUGAAGCACGAAAGCGUGGGGAUCAAACAGGAUUAGAUACCCUUGUAGUC